rnacentral:rRNA from 1 species
AUUGAACGCUGGCGGAAUACUUUACACAUGCAAGUCGAACGGCAGCACGGACUUCGGUCUGGUGGCGAGUGGCGAACGGGUGAGUAAUAUAUCGGAACGUGCACAGUCGUGGGGGAUAACGUAGUGAAAAUUACGCUAAUACCGCAUACGAUCUAUGGAUGAAAGCGGGGGACGUUUGGGCGUCGCGCGAUUGGAGCGGCCGAUAUCAGAUUAGGUAGUUGGUGGGGUAAAGGCUCACCAAGCCAACGAUCUGUAGCUGGUCUGAGAGGACGACCAGCCACACGGGGACUGGGACACGGCCCAGACUCCUACGGGAGGCAGCAGUGGGGAAUUUUGGACAAUGGACGCAAGUCUGAUCCAGCCAUUCCGCGUGCAGGACGAAGGCCUUCGGGUUGUAAACUGCUUUUGUACAGAACGAGAAGGUUUCUACUAAUACUAGGAGCUCAUGACGGUACUGUAAGAAUAAGCACCGGCUAACUACGUGCCAGCCGCCGCCGUAA